rnacentral:rRNA from 1 species
CCUACGGGCGGCAGCAGUGAGGAAUAUUGGUCAAUGGACGAGAGUCUGAACCAGCCAAGUAGCGUGAAGGAUGACUGCCCUAUGGGUUGUAAACUUCUUUUAUAUGGGAAUAAAAUGUUCCACGUGUGGGCUUUUGUAUGUACCCUAUGAAUAAGGAUCGGCUAACUCCGUGCCAGCAGCCGCGGUAAUACGGAGGAUCCGAGCGUUAUCCGGAUUUAUUGGGUUUAAAGGGAGCGUAGGUGGAUUGUUAAGUCAGUUGUGAAAGUUUGCGGCUCAACCGUAAAAUUGCAGUUGAAACUGGCAGUCUUGAGUACAGGAGAGGUGGGCGGAAUUCGUGGUGUAGCGGUGAAAUGCUUAGAUAUCACGAAGAACUCCGAUUGCGAAGGCAGCUCACUGGACUGCAACUGACACUGAGGCUCGAAAGUGUGGGUAUCAAACAGGAUUAGAUACCCGAGUAGUC